rnacentral:rRNA from 1 species
GGGGAAUAUUGGACAAUGGGCGCAAGCCUGAUCCAGCAAUUCCGCGUGAGCGAAGAAGGCCUUCGGGUUGUAAAGCUCUUUCGGCGGGGACGAUAAUGACGGUACCCGCAGAAGAAGCCCCGGCUAACUCCGUGCCAGCAGCCGCGGUAAUACGGAGGGGGCUAGCGUUGUUCGGAAUCACUGGGCGUAAAGCGCACGUAGGCGGCUACUCCAGUCAGAGGUGAAAGCCCGGGGCUCAACUCCGGAAUUGCCUUUGAAACUAGGUAGCUUGAACGUCGGAGAGGUAAGUGGAAUUCCGAGUGUAGAGGUGAAAUUCGUAGAUAUUCGGAAGAACACCAGUGGCGAAGGCGACUUACUGGACGACUGUUGACGCUGAGGUGCGAAAGCGUGGGGAGCAAAC